CCCUCCCCCAUCCACCACCCUCAAACAAGUCAGUUACCCGGCUGGUCCCCACCCCCCUCUGAGGGCUGCCACCGCCCGCCUGGGCCCGGCUCGCACAAGAACUGAGUAACUACUGGAUCCUUGGACUUCCACUCACAGCCGAUAUUGUUGGGGAGUUGGACUACAGACUAUGCUCAAAUUAUUCCACCUUUGAACAGCGGGAGUCUCUUUCCAUUGGCUCCCAACUUAAGGCUUCUGGAGACGGCCCCGAGGUGUGAAGCGUCUUUGCUUUUCAGUAGGACAAAGGUGUCCAUUCCUGCUGCAGCACCGGGGUCACUGGUGACCCAAGGAAGCCAUGUUUCCCUUAAGUGGUGAAUGGCAUCGAGCAGAGGCUGGCGAUUCGAUCAACUGCUCCUGGGAGGGACUGGCCCCUCCUCCUCCCCGCCCCUCUCCCCUCCCCCUGGCCCUUCCACUCCCCUUCCCUUCCUCUUCCUUGCCCCUCUCCCUCCCUUUUUCCUCCCCUCCCCCUCCCCCUUCCCCAGCUCCUGUCUCCUCCGCCCAUCUUCCCUACUGAGUUUUCUCUGUGGAAGUUACCCAUUGUGAUGGUUUAACCCUCGUUAUCAACUCUACUGAAAUGAAAAAAAAAAAAAAAAAAAGUGAGAAUACAAGCCAA